GAACAUCAAGAGGACUUCAGUAAGGAAAAUUUAAGUCUAAAUUCUUGAUUGUUAUAGAUAGUUUCUUGUUUCUAGUGUGUAGUGUAGGGUGUUCUGCGAAGAACUUCCGACCAGGGUAGCUUUCAGGAAUCAACUACUUCCGACACUUAAUUUUGGGAUUUGAUUUUAAUGCCAUGUUACUGAUUGAUGUUUAUGGAUGCUAUAAUAAAUCGGUCUGGUCUGAGACAUCCUUGGUAAUGGCCACCUAACUCUGAAGCAACAGUAGAUGUUGAUUUAGUUUUGCCCUACUUGGAGCUAGAGUCCAGCUACUGAGGUAUUAUUGUUUUAGAUAUUAUUUUCCCUAGAUAUCCAGCCCAUGUUUUGUUCUUUGUCUUGUCUCAUGAUUUAUUUUGCCACUUACAUUUUCUGGAGGCAUAAUUCUCAUACAGAGAAACUAAUUACUUGGAGUAUGUUGGCAUUUGUCUCUGGUUUUGUUUGUCACUUGUUUUCUGCACUCCUUGAAGAAUGCUUUUCUAGAGAAUGGUUUCUCCCUAGUGAAAGACUGUUCCUCUGAUUUUUUAAGAGUACAAAGGUAGCUUUAUGUAAUUGAUGAUUGCCUGUCAGGAAGGUGUCAGUUUAUGAUUUCUCCUUUUGUGAAGAUGCUCCUACUUGGACUGCCUUUCUAGAGAAUUGUCUCUCUUUUGUGAAGUUCAAAGAAAGCUUUACUUCAUUGUUCAUCAACCAGGUUCAUUCUUAACUGGAGAUAUAUUUUGGGUGGCUCAAGGUGUCCAAUCGUAUAUGCAGUAAAGGUUCAACAUAGAUAUCAACAAAAAUGUUAUCAUAAUCUCAUGAGAAUUGCUGGUUUUGUUCAAAAAUGUGUAUUCUUAUGUUUUUGUUUUUGAUUGUUGAACAUAUAGUUUUCUUUAAUGACAGUUUAUUUGAUUGCUUUGAA